AAGACUACACUUUCAGGGAUUAUUUCUAUAGUUCAUUACUAGAGAAGUUUCUCUGGACGUGGAGCACCCAAAACCACGAGGAGGAGGCCCAGCACCCUCUCCUGAAUGGGAAGCAGCCUCUUGGUGCUGCCUCAGCAACUGCAUUUGCCUCUGAUGAUCGUUCUUCUCUCUCGUCUGAGCGAGUAAGAGGGGGAGGAUGCCAUAAAA